CACUAUCGUUAACUGAAUACAUAGGUUAACGAGGCGAACCGGGGGAACUGAAACAUCUAAGUACCCCGAGGAAAAGAAAUCAACCGAGAUUCCCCCAGUAGCGGCGAGCGAACGGGGAGCAGCCCAGAGUCUGAAUCAGCUUGUGUGUUAGUGGAACGGUCUGGAAAGUCCGACGGUACAGGGUGAUAGUCCCGUACACCAAAAUGCACAGGUUGUGAACUCGAAGAGUAGGGCGGGACACGUGGUAUCCUGUCUGAAUAUGGGGGGACCAUCCUCCAAGGCUAAAUACUCCUGACUGACCGAUAGUGAACCAGUACCGUGAGGGAAAGGCGAAAAGAACCCCGGCGAGGGGAGUGAAAAAGAACCUGAAACCGUGUACGUACAAGCAGUGGGAGCACCUUCGGGUGUGACUGCGUACCUUUUGUAUAAUGGGUCAGCGACUUAUAUUCUGUAGCAAGGUUAACCGUAUAGGGGAGCCGCAGGGAAACCGAGUCUUAACUGGGCGUUAAGUUGCAGGGUAUAGACCCGAAACCCGGUGAUCUAGCCAUGGGCAGGUUGAAGGUUGGGUAACACUAACUGGAGGACCGAACCGACUAAUGUUGAAAAAUUAGCGGAUGACUUGUGGCUGGGGGUGAAAGGCCAAUCAAACCGGGAGAUAGCUGGUUCUCCCCGAAAGCUAUUUAGGUAGCGCCUCGUGAAUUCAUCUUCGGGGGUAGAGCACUGUUUCGGCUAGGGGGUCAUCCCGACUUACCAACCCGAUGCAAACUACGAAUACCGAAGAAUGUUAUCACGGGAGACACACGGCGGGUGCUAACGUCCGUCGUGAAGAGGGAAACAACCCAGACCGCCAGCUAAGGUCCCAAAGUCAUGGUUAAGUGGGAAACGAUGUGGGAAGGCACAGACAGCCAGGAUGUUGGCUUAGAAGCAGCCAUCAUUUAAAGAAAGCGUAAUAGCUCACUGGUCGAGUCGGCCUGCGCGGAAGAUGUAACGGGGCUAAACCAUGCACCGAAGCUGCGGCAGCGACACUAUGUGUUGUUGGGUAGGGGAGCGUUCUGUAAGCCUGCGAAGGUGUGCUGUGAGGCAUGCUGGAGGUAUCAGAAGUGCGAAUGCUGACAUAAGUAACGAUAAAGCGGGUGAAAAGCCCGCUCGCCGGAAGACCAAGGGUUCCUGUCCAACGUUAAUCGGGGCAGGGUGAGUCGACCCCUAAGGCGAGGCCGAAAGGCGUAGUCGAUGGGAAACAGGUUAAUAUUCCUGUACUUGGUGUUACUGCGAAGGGGGGACGGAGAAGGCUAUGUUAGCCGGGCGACGGUUGUCCCGGUUUAAGCAUGUAGGCUGGUUGUCCAGGCAAAUCCGGAUAAUCAAGGCUGAGGUGUGAUGACGAGGCACUACGGUGCUGAAGUAACAAAUGCCCUGCUUCCAGGAAAAGCCUCUAAGCAUCAGGUAACAUUAAAUCGUACCCCAAACCGACACAGGUGGUCAGGUAGAGAAUACCAAGGCGCUUGAGAGAACUCGGGUGAAGGAACUAGGCAAAAUGGUGCCGUAACUUCGGGAGAAGGCACGCUGGUGUGUAGGUGAAGUCCCUGCGGAUGGAGCUGAGACCAGUCGAAGAUACCAGCUGGCUGCAACUGUUUAUUAAAAACACAGCACUGUGCAAACACGAAAGUGGACGUAUACGGUGUGACGCCUGCCCGGUGCCGGAAGGUUAAUUGAUGGGGUUAUCCGUAAGGAGAAGCUCUUGAUCGAAGCCCCGGUAAACGGCGGCCGUAACUAUAACGGUCCUAAGGUAGCGAAAUUCCUUGUCGGGUAAGUUCCGACCUGCACGAAUGGCGUAAUGAUGGCCAGGCUGUCUCCACCCGAGACUCAGUGAAAUUGAACUCGCUGUGAAGAUGCAGUGUACCCGCGGCAAGACGGAAAGACCCCGUGAACCUUUACUAUAGCUUGACACUGAACAUUGAGCCUUGAUGUGUAGGAUAGGUGGGAGGCUUUGAAGCGUGGACGCCAGUCUGCGUGGAGCCAACCUUGAAAUACCACCCUUUAAUGUUUGAUGUUCUAACGUUGGCCCCUGACCGGGGUUGCGGACAGUGUCUGGUGGGUAGUUUGACUGGGGCGGUCUCCUCCCAAAGCGUAACGGAGGAGCACGAAGGUUAGCUAAUCCUGGUCGGACAUCAGGAGGUUAGUGCAAUGGCAUAAGCUAGCUUGACUGCGAGCGUGACGGCGCGAGCAGGUGCGAAAGCAGGUCAUAGUGAUCCGGUGGUUCUGAAUGGAAGGGCCAUCGCUCAACGGAUAAAAGGUACUCCGGGGAUAACAGGCUGAUACCGCCCAAGAGUUCAUAUCGACGGCGGUGUUUGGCACCUCGAUGUCGGCUCAUCACAUCCUGGGGCUGAAGUAGGUCCCAAGGGUAUGGCUGUUCGCCAUUUAAAGUGGUACGCGAGCUGGGUUUAGAACGUCGUGAGACAGUUCGGUCCCUAUCUGCCGUGGGCGCUGGAGAAUUGAGGGGGGCUGCUCCUAGUACGAGAGGACCGGAGUGGACGCAUCACUGGUGUUCGGGUUGUCAUGCCAAUGGCACUGCCCGGUAGCUAAAUGCGGAAGAGAUAAGUGCUGAAAGCAUCUAAGCACGAAACUUGCCCCGAGAUGAGUUCUCCCUGAGACUUUAAGUCUCCUGAAGGAACGUUGAAGACGACGACGUUGAUAGGCCGGGUGUGUAAGCGCAGCGAUGCGUUGAGCUAACCGGUACUAAUGAACCGUGAGGCUUAACCUUACAACGCCGAAG
rnacentral:rRNA from 1 species